AUGUUGGAGGAAGAACAACUUUCCUUUCGUUCAGACUCUGCCAUGUUUGACAGCAGUUAAGACUACUCUCAUCAACGAUUUCCCUUCCUUUGCUUACUACAUGCAUAUCUAGAUAGUAUACUUAUAUUAUUUCCAUAAAUUUUUGUUGUAGUCCCUAAGAAAGGUUCUACAACAUCUCGAUCUCAUUCGUGUCAUUUUUUAUAAAAUCCUUUUUAUUUUUCUCCAUCAUUUGUUCUCAUUGACUUGUCCUUUAAUUUUUUCUUCUGCUCUUGUUGGAUUGUUUCUGUCAGAUUUGGAAGGUAGGGUAGUUCUAUAUUUCUUUUUUUCUGGUGCCAUUAAAGUUGCAAAAAAUCUUACCACUUGAUGUUCUUGCUUCCUUUUCAAGUCUGAACUAUCUUGAUAUUGGAUGUGGUUAUGAAAGUUUCGGGGCACAUCUCUUUUCUAGCCAACUAUUUACCAUGUGUGUUGUAAAUUAUGAAGCAUUAGGCAGUCAAUUUCAGCUAACACUUUAAAUCGGUCUUCCUUCAAUGAUUUGAUCAUUUAAUUCAAAGCAGUUGGCUUAUCCAUCUCUUUCCUUUGAUGUGAUACAUUGUGCAGAAUGUCAUCUUGACUGGGAUCAAAAAGGAUUUACUUGAUAUAGGUGAAACAAUAGUAAUUGAGUCGAGGAAUUGAUUAUUUUUUGAGCCUAUGAUGGAAGCUGACAAUUUGAACUGAAAGUUGAUGACUUAAAUAGUAGAAACAGGAGUUACUUCAGGAGUUACUUGAUCAUUUUUUUGCUAUGUAUUCAAAUGUUAUGGAAAAUUUGAUAUCAUACUCUAGCUCGAUUAGGAUGGUAACUAUUUUUUUGUAAAACAAAUAUUGAAAUUAAUAUCAUGGGAUGUUCACUAAA